ensembl:lincRNA 6030471H07Rik RIKEN cDNA 6030471H07 gene
GAAGAAUAGUGUGCCCAGGUCAAGUUCAGGGAAAAAGGACCACUUACCAAUGCAGGACAUCCAGAGUUCCAGACAGGCAGUCCAUCUUGGUGAGGAAGACAUGGCAACAGGCAGGGAAGGCAGAGAUACAAGAAGAAGAAGAUGGUUGAUCAGAUUGCAUUCAAACACAGGAAAAUAAAACAGCAAGCUGUGAGACCUUGGAGCCCAUCCUGAUGAUACACUUCCUCCACCAAGGCUCCACCUCCUAAAGGUUCCAUCACCAUCUCAAACAGUGCCACCAGCUGGAGAUCUAGUGUUACAACACACAUGCCCAUGGGGGACAUCUCUCAUUUCAACCACACCUCCUUCACCUGCAUGACUCACCUUCGUCUUCUUUAAUGAGGUGUCUCUUCAGAUAUUUUGCAUGUUUCCCAUUUGUUUAUGUUUGUUUUCUUAUUUUUGCUUUGUAUAUCUCAUUCUUAAGUUCUGUAUUAAAGAUAGUUUUGAAAAUUU